rnacentral:rRNA from 1 species
GCUUACGGCCAUAUCAGCCUGGGUACGCCCGAUCUCGUCUGAUCUCGGAAGCUAAGCAGGGUCGGGCCUGGUUAGUACUUUGAUGGGAGACUGCCUGGGAAUACCAGGUGCUGUAAGCA